rnacentral:rRNA from 1 species
UACGGAGGGUGCAAGCGUUAUCCGGAUUUACUGGGUUUAAAGGGUGCGUAGGCGGGCCAUUAAGUCAGUGGUGAAAGCUCCGAGCUUAACUCGGAAACUGCCAUUGAUACUAUUGGUCCUGAAUUCGGUCGAGGUUGGCGGAAUGUGUCGUGUAGCGGUGAAAUGCUUAGAUAUGACACAGAACACCGAUUGCGAAGGCAGCUAGCUAGACCGACAUUGACGCUGAGGCACGAAAGCGUGGGGAUCAAACAGG